rnacentral:rRNA from 1 species
UACAGAGGUCUCAAGCGUUGUUCGGAUUCAUUGGGCGUAAAGGGUGCGUAGGUGGCGCCGUAAGUCAGGUGUGAAAUUUCGGAGCUUAACUCCGAAACUGCAUUUGAUACUGCGGUGCUUGAGGACUGGAGAGGAGACUGGAAUUCACGGUGUAGCAGUGAAAUGCGUAGAGAUCGUGAGGAAGACCAGUGGCGAAGGCGGGUCUCUGGACAGUUCCUGACGCUGAGGCACGAAGGUCAGGGGAGCAAACGGG